rnacentral:rRNA from 1 species
UACGGAGGGUGCAGGCGUUAAUCGGAAUUACUGGGCGUAAAGCGCACGCAGGUGGCUGAGUCAGUCGAUUGUGAAAGCCCUGGGCUUAACCUGGGAAUUGCAGUCGAUACUACUCAGCUAGAGUAUGGGAGAGGACAGUGGAAUUCCCGGUGUAGCGGUGAAAUGCGUAGAUAUCGGGAGGAACAUCAGUGGCGAAGGCGGCUGUCUGGCCCAAUACUGACACUCAGGUGCGACAGCGUGGGGAGCAAACAGG